rnacentral:rRNA from 1 species
AGCGAACGCUGGCGGCAGGCCUAACACAUGCCAGUCGAACGAACCUUUCGGGGUUAGUGGCGGACGGGUGAGUAACACGUGGGAACGUGCCUUUAGGUUCGGAAUCACUCAGGGAAACUUGUGCUAAUACCGAAUGUGCCCUUCGGGGGAAAGAUUUAUCGCCUUUAGAGCGGCCCGCGUCUGAUUAGCUAGUUGGUUGAGGUAAUGGCUCACCAAGGCGACGAUCAGUAGCUGGUCUGAGAGGAUGAUCAGCCACAUUGGGACUGAGACACGGCCCAAACUCCGACGGGAGGGAGCAGUGGGGAAUCUUGCGCAAUGGGCGAAAGCCUGACGCAGCCAUGCCGCGUGAAUGAUGAAGGUCUUAGGAUUGUAAAAUUCUUUCACCGGGGACGAUAAUGACGGUACCCGGAGAAGAAGCCCCGGCUAACUUCGUG